rnacentral:lncRNA from 1 species
CUAUGUUAUUAUCUCCACCACUUUGUGGAAGAGGAAACAAAGUUCAGACUUACCAAGAGCCAUAGGGCUCAUGUCUGCCAUUAUAUUGGCUUAGUUUGUUUUAGUAAUAACUUCUUUCUUUCUUCCUUUCUUCCUUCCUUCCUUUCUUUCUUUCUUUCUUGAUUGCUUGCUUUCUCUUUCCUUCUUUCUUCCUUCCUUUCUUCCUUCCUUUCUUCCUUCCUUCCUUUCUUUCUUUCUUUCUUCCUUCCUUCCUUUCUCUCUCUCCCUCUCUUUCAUUUCUUUCUUUCUUUGCUUUCUUUCUUUCUUUCUUUCUUUCUUUCUUUCUUUCUUUCUUUCUUUCUUUCUUUCUUUCUUUCUUUCUUUCUUUCUUCCUUCCUUCCUUCCUUCCUUUCUUUCUCUCUUUCUUUUGUUCCUUCCUUCCUUCCUUCCUUCCUUCCUUCCUUCCUUCCUUCCCUUUCCUUCCUUCCUUCCUUCCUUCCUUCCUUCUUUCUCAAAGGGAAUGAGAGAGGCAGGAGAUAGAAAUUAAAUGCUGUCUCUAAAAAAUACACUC